rnacentral:rRNA from 1 species
UACGUAGGAUCCGAGCGUUGUCCGGAUUUACUGGGCGUAAAGGGUGCGCAGGCGGACUGGUAAGUCAGUGGUGAAAUCUCGUCGCUUAACGACGAAACUGCCUUUGAUACUAUCAGUCUUGAAUCCGGUAGAGAUCUGUGGAAUUCCGAGUGUAGCAGUGAAAUGUGUAGAUAUUCGGAAGAACACCAGUGGCGAAGGCAGCAGAUUGGGCCGGUAUUGACGCUCAGGCACGAAAGCAUGGGGAUCAAACAGG